GAUGAACGCUGGCGGCGUGCCUAAUACAUGCAAGUCGAGCGAACGGACGAGAAGCUUGCUUUUCUGAUGUUAGCGGCGGACGGGUGAGUAACACGUGGAUAACCUACCUAUAAGACUGGGAUAACUUCGGGAAACCGGAGCUAAUACCGGAUAAUAUUUUGAACCGCAUGGUUCAAAAGUGAAAGACGGUCUUGCUGUCACUUAUAGAUGGAUCCGCGCUGCAUUAGCUAGUUGGUAAGGUAACGGCUUACCAAGGCAACGAUGCAUAGCCGACCUGAGAGGGUGAUCGGCCACACUGGAACUGAGACACGGUCCAGACUCCUACGGGAGGCAGCAGUAGGGAAUCUUCCGCAAAGGGCGAAAGCCUGACGGAGCAACGCCGCGUGAGUGAUGAAGGUCUUCGGAUCGUAAAACUCUGUUAUUAGGGAAGGACAUAUGUGUAAGUAACUGUGCACAUCUUGACGGUACCUAAUCAGAAAGCCACGGCUAACUACGUG
rnacentral:rRNA from 1 species